rnacentral:rRNA from 1 species
UGGGGAAUAUUGGACAAUGGGCGAAAGCCUGAUCCAGCAAUACCGCGUGUGUGAAGAAGGCCCUAGGGUUGUAAAGCACUUUCAAUAGGGAGGAAAAAGCAUAGGCUAAUACCCUGUGUAUUGACAUUACCUAUACAAGAAGCACCGGCUAACUCCGUGCCAGCAGCCGCGGUAAUACGGAGGGUGCAAGCGUUAAUCGGAAUUACUGGGCGUAAAGCGUGCGUAGGUGGCUUGUUAAGCCAGAUGUGAAAGCCCCGGGCUUAACCUGGGAACUGCAUUUGGAACUGGCAGGCUAGAGUUGGGUAGAGGUAAGUGGAAUUUCAGGUGUAGCGGUGAAAUGCGUAGAUAUCUGAAGGAACACCAGUGGCGAAGGCGGCUUACUGGACCCAAACUGACGCUG